UACGGGGGGAGCAAGCGUUGUUCGGAUUUACUGGGCGUAAAGGGCGCGUAGGCGGCCACCGCAAGUCGGUUGUGAAAUCUCUGGGCUUAACCCGGAAAGGUCAGCCGAUACUGCGGGGCUAGAGUGCAGAAGGGGCAACUGGAAUUCUCGGUGUAGCGGUGAAAUGCGUAGAUAUCGAGAGGAACACCUGCGGCGAAGGCGGGUUGCUGGGCUGACACUGACGCUGAUGCGCGAAAGCUAGGGGAGCGAACGGG
rnacentral:rRNA from 1 species